rnacentral:lncRNA from 1 species
UCAAACUUCUCGAUCUCAAAUUCGUCAUCGUCUUAAACACCCAAACGAACACUCCAGCUCUGAUACCAAUUUGUUAGAACUAAAACCGAAAAGAUCUAAUUCGUCAGCUACAAAAAUACCAAAAGAGAACCAAGAAUGAAAGAAGGAAAAUAAAGUACACAAUAUUUACGUCGUUCUGCCACCGGCAUACAUCCACGGACGACGGAGCCGAAAUCUUCAUUAUAAUCAAAGUGGUGUAUAAAAUAUGCCUCUCUCGCAAAACCUAAUCCCAAAAAUACAUCCAUAUUCCCUCUCUCAUCUUCCGUACUAAACUAAUGGAAUAAAGGGUAUAUUUAUAAGAGUGGCUAAAU